rnacentral:rRNA from 1 species
GAUGAACGCUAGCUACAGGCUUAACACAUGCAAGUCGAGGGGAAACGACAUCGAAAGCUUGCUUUUGAUGGGCGUCGACCGGCGCACGGGUGAGUAACGCGUAUCCAACCUGCCCACCACUUGGGGAUAACCUUGCGAAAGUAAGACUAAUACCCAAUGACGUCUCUAGAAGACAUCUGAAGGAGAUUAAAGAUUUAUCGGUGAUGGAUGGGGAUGCGUCUGAUUAGCUUGUUGGCGGGGUAACGGCCCACCAAGGCAACGAUCAGUAGGGGUUCUGAGAGGAAGGUCCCCCACAUUGGAACUGAGACACGGUCCAAACUCCUACGGGAGGCAGCAGUGGGGAAUAUUGGGCAAUGGGCGCAAGCCUGACCCAGCAACGCCGCGUGAAGGAAGAAGGCUUUCGGGUUGUAAAGCUCUGUUGUCGGGGACGAAUGUCAGGACUCAAAAUAUGGGUUCUGAAUGACGGUACCUGACGAGGAAGCCACGGCUAACUACGUGCCAGCAGCCGACGG